GGUUAUUAAGGUCUACCUUCAACAUGAGGGUUAUUAAGGUCUACCUUCUACACUAGGGUUAUUAAGGUCUACCUUCUACAUGAGGGUUAUUAAGAUCUACCUUCAACAUGAGGGUUAUUAAGGUCUACCUUCUACACUAGGGUUAUUAAGGUCUACCUUCAACAUGAGGGUUAUUAAGGUCUACCUUCUGCAUGAGGGUUAUUAAGGUCUACCUUCUACAUGAGGGUUAUUAAGGUCUACCUUCUGCAUGAGGGUUAUUAAGGUCUACCUUCAACAUGAGGGUUAUUAAGGUCUACCUUCUACAUGAGGGUUAUUAAGGUCUACCUUCUACAUGAGGGUUAUUAAGGUCUACCUUCUACAUAAGGGUUAUUAAGGUCUACCUUCUACAUGAGGGUUAUUGAGGUCUACCUUCUACAUGAGGGUUAUUAAGGUCUACCUUCUACAUGAGGGUUAUUGAGGUCUACCUUCUACAUGAGGGUUAUUAAGGUCUACCUUCUACAUAAGGGUUAUUAAGGUCUACCUUCUACAUGAGGGUUAUUAAGGUCUACCUUCUACAUGAGGGUUAUUGAGGUCUACCUUCUGCAUGAGGGUUAUUAAGGUCUACCUUCAACAUGAGGGUUAUUAUGGUCUACCUUCAACAUGAGGGUUAUUAAGGUCUACCUUCUACAUGAGGGUUAUUAUGGUCUACCUUCAACAUGAGGGUUAUUAAGGUCUACCUUCUACAUAAGGGUUAUUAAGGUCUACCUUCUACACUAGGGUUAUUAAGGUCUACCUUCUACAUGAGGGUUAUUAAGGUCUACCUUCUACACUAGGGUUAUUAAGGUCUACCUUCUACACUAGGGUUAUUAAGGUCUUCCUUCUAUACUAGGGUUAUUAAGGUCUACCUCCUACACUAGGGUUAUUAAGGUCUUCCUUCUACACUAGGGUUAUUAAGGUCUACCUCCUACACUAGGGUUAUUAAGGUCUUCCUUCUACACUAGGGUUAUUAAGGUCUUCCUUCUACACUAGGGUAAUAUUAAUGUCUACCUUCUACACUAGGGUUAUUAAGGUCUACCUCCUACACUAGGGUUAUUAAGGUCUACCUUCUACACUAGGGUUAUUAAGGUCUACCUUCUACACUAGGGUUAUUAAGGUCUACCUUCUACACUAGGGUUAUUAAGGUCUACCUUCUACAUGGGGGUUAUUAAGGUAUACCUUCAACAUGAGGGUUAUUAUGGUCUACCUUCUACAUGAGGGUUAUUAAGGUCUACCUUCAACAUGAGGGUUAUUAAGGUCUACCUUCUACACGAGGGUUAUUAAGGUCUACCUUCUACACAAGGGUUAUUAAGGUCUACCUUCUACACUAAUGUUAUUAAGGUCUACCUUCUAUAUGAGGGUUAUUAAUUUCUACCUUCUACACAAGGGUUAUUAAGGUCUACCUUCUACACUAAUGUUAUUAAGGUCUACCUUCUAUAUGAGGGUUAUUAAGGUCUACCUUCUACACGAGGGUUAUUAAGGUCUACCUUCUACACAAGGGUUAUUAAAGCCACUUAUCACCUGUACUCAAAUGACAAGAAUACUUUGUUCCCUAUAAAUAACGAUGUAUAUACCUCAGUAUAUACACUAAGGUAUAUACAUUCCUCGAUGUAUAUACCUGGUAAA